rnacentral:lncRNA from 1 species
GGUUUGAUUUUUUAAAAGGGGAAAUAAAAGCAUUGACGGAUGGAUUUAAAAAGAAUUGAUACGGAUUCAGCUAUACCAAAUCCCAAUAUUUAACGUAUAGUGUAUAACUUACGUAGUCCUUCCACCUGCAUUGUUUGGUCCAGGAGACCCGAUGUCAGUGUGUUUAAUUUGCAUCAUAUAAGGAUCAAAAUGUUGUACAAGG